UACGUAGGGUGCAAGCGUUGUCCGGAAUUAUUGGGCGUAAAGAGCUCGUAGGCGGUUUGUCGCGUCUGCUGUGAAAACUCGGGGCUCAACUCCGAGCUUGCAGUGGGUACGGGCAGACUAGAGUGCGGUAGGGGAGACUGGAAUUCCUGGUGUAGCGGUUGAAUGCGCAGAUAUCAGGAGGAACACCGGUGGCGAAGGCGGGUCUCUGGGCCGUAACUGACGCUGAGGAGCGAAAGCAUGGGGAGCGAACAGG
rnacentral:rRNA from 1 species